rfam:Camelus ferus unplaced genomic scaffold scaffold1683, whole genome shotgun sequence.
GAGGGUGUAGCUCAGUGGUAGAGUGCAUGCUUAGUAGGCAGGAGGUCCUGGGUUCAAUCCCCAGUACCUCCA